AUUGAACGCUGGCGGAAUGCUUUACACAUGCAAGUCGAACGGCAGCACGGACUUCGGUCUGGUGGCGAGUGGCGAACGGGUGAGUAAUGUAUCGGAACGUGCCCAGUCGUGGGGGAUAACGUAGUGAAAAUUACGCUAAUACCGCAUACGAUCUAUGGAUGAAAGCGGGGGAUCGCAAGACCUCGCGCGAUUGGAGCGGCCGAUAUCAGAUUGGGUAGUUGGUGGGGUAAAGGCCCACCAAGCCAACGAUCUGUAGCUGGGCUGAGAGGACGACCAGCCACACUGGAACUGAGACACGGUCCAGACUCCUACGGGAGGCAGCAGUGGGGAAUUUUGGACAAUGGGCGAAAGCCUGAUCCAGCCAUUCCGCGUGCAGGAUGAAGGCCCUCGGGUUGUAAACUGCUUUUGUACAGAACGAAAAGGUUUCUACUAAUACUAGGAGCUCAUGACGGUACUGUAAGAAUAAGCACCGGCUAACUACGUGCCAGCAGCCGCGGUAA
rnacentral:rRNA from 1 species